rnacentral:lncRNA from 1 species
GUCACUUGGGAUGUACACAUGUAUAUCUAUCAUUUAUGAGGGGGAUCUUUUAUUAUUAUUAUUUUGGUUAACAAGUCUUUAUUGAAGCAAAUAUAGUUUCACAUGUACAAUAGGACAAUUGCUACGAGUGUGAGACACGCAGGUCUCAGUGAAUAUAAACAAAGACGCAGGUAAGUAUUAGGUAUUCAGUAAUCAGUAUUACAUAAAAAUAAAAAGGAGAAAUAUAAGCAUCUAUCAGGGCCUACAGAACAUCACAAAAUAUAAUGCAGUGGUAGUCGUACCCUUCAAUGAUCAGCUAGGUGCGGAAACCGCGUUAUUGUUAUCAUCCCUGUUUUUUUCUAGCAGGUUCGGUUAUAUAGGAGGCAUCUGAAUUGUAGAUGUAGGAACAGAACUAUUAUUAUCUCCAUUUAUAUAGCGCCAACAGAUUCCAUAGCGCUUUACAAUAUUAUUAGAGGGGGGAUUUAACUAUAAAUAUGACAUUACAAGAAAACUUAAAGGAUCACUCUAGUGUCAAGAAAACAAACCCAUUUUCCUGACACUAUAGCAUCCUUGGGGGACCCUCACCCUCAGGGUCCCCCUCCCGCUGGGCUGAAGGGGUUAAAACCCCUUCAGCAGCUUACCUUAAUCCAGUGCAGGUGACCUCCCCUCCCGACAUCAGCUCCAGAGUGGAACGGAAUGCGCAUGCGCGGCCAGAGCUGCGCGCGCAUUUAAACAGUCCAUAGGAAUUUCACAUCCAACGUCGCAGAAGCGCCUCUAGCGGCUGUCAUGAAGACAGCCACUAGAGGUUGGAUUAACCCUGCUAUGUAAACAUAGUUUCUCUGAAACUGUUUACAUGUGAAGGGUUAAAACCUGAGGGACUUGGCACCCAGACCACUUCAUUGAGCUGAAGUGGUCUGGGUGACUAAAGUGUCCCUUUAACUAUUCAUCUUGUGUAUAUUCCUUUGGUCAGACCGAGUACUGGGAAGUGGGACAUAAUUUGAGGCAUGAGAUCUAGGCUGUGGCCAGGAUAAGUAGGUUUGCAUAUAUAUCCUUCCCCAUAUCUCUCAUAAACUCAAUGUUGCUAUAGGAAAGGACUCUCAAAAUAGGUCUAUAACUGUGUCAGCACCAAUAUUAGCGGUUGGCUCCUAAGUAUCCGGUUGCUCUGUCCAGGCCCAUCCAUGUCAUCGCCUUCUGGGUAGGCAGUAGUUAGAAAUAAAUAGGUCAAGAAGCAGUAGGUAACAGUGUAAUACAAGAUAGGUGAGCAAUGCGGUAAGGGGGGACAUAUAGGCAAGCUGUGGGUCGAACCCAUUAUUCUAGACCCUGCAAGUCAUUACCCGCACCCCCGACUAGCACAGCAUCUGCCCAUGCCACAUACCCAAACCAGGGCCACCACAGAUCUGUGUGUUUUGCGUCAUUACCUACCAGAGAUGCCUGCAUUGCUUCCGCUGAAUGUAUUUCCCCCACCCUUCCUAACCACUGCACGAUCGCAUGGGUCUUAUCUUGUUUCCACAGGGCAGGUAUCAGCGAUUUGGCUGCAUUUAGGACGUGACGGUAGAUGGAUUUUUUUUUAAUAUGGCUAAUGGGGACAGGGUAGCAUGUAGAAGAACAUUUUCUAUCUAGAAGUAUUCCCGAGACCUUGAUUUUGACCCAAUUCCCCAAAUGGUUUUAUUUGGUUACAAUCCCACCACAAGUUUCUGAUUGUCCCUUCCGCCUCUCCAGCAUGUGCUUGGCACUGUGGGGUACACCCUGUACAGGUAUUCAGGCGUUCUGUACCAAGAAGAGAGUAGCUUGUAGUUGGUUUACUGGUGCCUACUGCUUACCUAGCUUUUAUGGGAUAAUAUUAGGAGCUUCUCCCACUGUGCGCUAUUAUUAUUAUUAAUUCUAGUUUUGGAAAAUGAAGAUUUAAUUCCUCAGUGAUUCCGUAACUAUUUGGCCUCUAUUAUAAUUUGAAUCUAUUAAAGGGAUACUAUAGUCAUCAUAACAACUAGAGAUAUUGCAUUUGUUCUGGUGAGUAAUCAUUCUCUUCAGGCUUUUUGCAGUAAACACUGUUUUUUUUCAGAGAAAAUGCAAUGUUUACAUUACAGGCUAGGGAUACCUCCACUGACCACUCCUCAGAUGGCUGCUAGAGGUACUUCCUGGGGUAGUGCAUGCAGACACUGAACUUUCCUUAUAGAGAUGCAUUGAUUUAAUGUAUCUCUCUGAGGAGAUGCUAAUUGGCCAGGGCUGUGUUUGGCUUUUGCUGGCUCUGCCUCCUUGACAGUCUUAGCCAAUCCAGUGCUUUCCUAUGUUAAAAGUAUUGUGAUUAGCUAACACCACUUCUGAUGAUGUCAGCGAAGCAGUCAAGUCAGGGGCAGAGCCAGCAGCAGACUGAAAUAAGGGUAAAAUUUUCUAUAUUUAGAUGGCAGGGGGAUUAUGGUUUUAACACUUUUGGGUCAGAAAUAAAUGUUUGUGUUCCUGACCCUAAAGUGUUCCUUUAAAAUAAGAUUUAGUUUCUUGUGAGCUCAAUUUAGUUAAAAGGGACACUCCAGGCACCCAGACCACUUCUGCCCAUUGGAGUGGUCUGGGUGCCAACUCCCACUACUCUUAACCCUGCAAGUGUAAUUAUUGCAGUUUUUUUAUAAACUGUAAUAAUUACCUUGCAGGGUUAAUUCCACCUCUAGUGGCUGUCUAGUAGACAGCCACUAGAGGGCACUUCCUGGUUUCAAUGCUUUCCUAUGGGGAGCGCCAAUGCGCAUGCACGGCCGGGAUCAGUCUCGUCCACCAUCCGACGUAAUGCAGAGGAGGAGGUUUUCACCCCUUCAGCAACAGAGGAUUGGGGGUGGGAGGGAGAGGGGACCUGCAGUGCCAGGAAAACAGAUUGCUUUCCUGGCACUAGAGUUUCCCUUUAAUACAGUUAUUACAUUUCAGACGCAUCGAAAGAACCGAAUUGACACAAUAUUAAAUGGCUGCUCCAGACUUGACAUUUAAAAACCAGCCCACUCCAUUCAAAAUUUCAAAGAAAACAAAUCUUCGAUACAUUCACAGCGAUUUCAGCUGAGGUGCCAGUUCCAAAUUGAAUUUUAAAUAAUGGCAAUUUACUCUUUAUUAACCAAUCUUACAAAAAUUGUGGAAUUUCAAAAACAUUUUGCACUUACUGAAAUGAAUAAAAAAUAUUUAUUUUUUAAAGUGUCUUUAAAACGGUUUAAUGAUGCGGAAUAUUCAGUUGCAUGAUUUACGUUUAUGUUUAAUCUGUAUGAGGGAGAUCAUAUCUGACCCUGACCUUUAAACUAGUGUCAUGUUCAGUCUAAUGAGAUUUAAACUGGGUAAGCCUAACCUCCCACUGACCAAUAAAUGCACUCGCUCAGCACUUCCCUCUUAGCAAAAAUAGACACCCCCACCCUCUCCUCCAUCUCAAUCUAUUCUAAGGGCCCAAAGCAGCAAUAAAACGGUAUGGAAGCCUAGCACUGUUAUUACAAAGCUGUAUUAAUUCAGUUCUAUAUUACAUUUUGGAAAAGUUAAUCUUCGCUCUCUAAUCACUCAUGCAAGUAACUGCCCACUAAGCUCCUCUCACUUUAUACUCCCAUACAUUCCUGAUCUGGUACACGGCUAUCCACAAAACAGUGAAUUGUACACCAAAUUGCACCAUUCAAGCUGUGACUAAAUACAAGAAAUAGUUUAUAUCUCUCAUUGUAAUUCCGUUGUCAGUGCUGAAUAAGCCCACACCAGACUUAUUUAUCUGAGCCAGAGGACCAGGUUAACAUAGUGGCGGAUGGCGUUGCAGCUUCAUGACCACGACCUCUUCCUAAUACAUUCACCAUUUUCCACUGCCCGGGCUAUUUACCAAAAUCAGCUAUUAAAAUACAAAUGGUCAGCUGGUUAUCAAAGGACUGUCAGCGUGCCAAGUUAAGCACAUAUAUCUUUAUGACAGUAACCCCCUCUAAACGCCACCGAUGUCCCACGGACACAUGCUAUAUACACAUGGAAACCAAUGGAAUGUUCCUGCAGAUUGCUCUACUUUUACAACUUUACCCUUAGAAACAUAGAAUGUGACGACCAUUCGGCCCAUCUAGUCUGCCUAGUUUUCUAAAUACUUUCAUUAGUCCCUGGCCUUAUCUUAUAGUUAGGAUAGCCUUAUGCCUAUCCCAAGCAUGCUUAAACUCCUUUACUGUGUUAACCUCUACCACUUCAGCUGGAAGGCUAUCCCAUGCAUCCACUACCAUCUCAGUAAAGUAAUACUUCCUAAAAUUAUUUUUAAACCUUUGCCCCUCUAAUGUCCUCUUGUUGUGGUAGUCUUUCCUCUUUUAACCCCUUUAAGGACUGAGCCAGUUCUACAAGUUGUGAUCAAAACAAAACGUAAACAAAACCUUGAAUUUGCGCUAUAUGUCUGUUCAGGCGUGAUUCACCUCUUUCAUAUUAAAUGCACCCACACUUAUUAUAUUUAAUUUUGUUCAGGAAAAAUCAGGACUUUCAUGUCACAUCAAAUAUUUAUAUAUUAAACAGAAUUUAAUAUGACAAAUGUAAAAA